rnacentral:rRNA from 1 species
AGAGUUUGAUCAUGGCUCAGAUUGAACGCUGGCGGCAGGCCUAACACAUGCAAGUCGAGCGGAAACGAGUUAUCUGAACCUUCGGGGAACGAUAACGGCGUCGAGCGGCGGACGGGUGAGUAAUGCCUAGGAAAUUGCCUUGAUGUGGGGGAUAACCAUUGGAAACGAUGGCUAAUACCGCAUAACGCCUACGGGCCAAAGAGGGGGACCUUCGGGCCUCUCGCGUCAAGAUAUGCCUAGGUGGGAUUAGCUAGUUGGUGAGGUAAUGGCUCACCAAGGCGACGAUCCCUAGCUGGUCUGAGAGGAUGAUCAGCCACACUGGAACUGAGACACGGUCCAGACUCCUACGGGAGGCAGCAGUGGGGAAUAUUGCACAAUGGGCGAAAGCCUGAUGCAGCCAUGCCGCGUGUAUGAAGAAGGCCUUCGGGUUGUAAAGUACUUUCAGUUGUGAGGAAGGAGGUGUCGUUAAUAGCGGCAUCUCUUGACGUUAGCAACAGAAGAAGCACCGGCUAACUCCGUGCCAGCAGCCGCGGUAAUACGGAGGGUGCGAGCGUUAAUCGGAAUUACUGGGCGUAAAGCGCAUGCAGGUGGUUCAUUAAGUCAGAUGUGAAAGCCCGGGGCUCAACCUCGGAACUGCAUUUGAAACUGGUGAACUAGAGUACUGUAGAGGGGGGUAGAAUUUCAGGUGUAGCGGUGAAAUGCGUAGAGAUCUGA